UUCUGAUAAGAUAAGAUAAGAUAAAAUAAAAUAAAGGUAAAGAUAAAGGGGCACACAUCCUAAGUAGCAAUUCUACAAGCAACGCUCCUUCCUGACCACCAGAGGGAACCCUUGCCAGAACACUGAUUACUUCCAGCGCAGGCCUGAUUGCUGAUAAAGACCAGACCAUACAGCUGACAGACACAACACUGUUUCAAAAGAAGGCAUGACAGUCCAAAGGCAUGACAGUCCAAAGGCAUGGGCAGCUCCAUUCACAACAAUCUCAUGAGACACUGGCUGACCAUGCAGAUCAAUCCCUGGCAGUGUAAUCCACCGAGUGACGAGACUCCAACCAGGGGUAGAACAUCAGGAUUGACGUUUUGUGUUACAUCUGCCUUCCUGUGAGGUUCUUUUGUGAACAGUUGGGAGUUAACUUCAGGCUGACAGGCUGGGUAUCUGGGUAACAGUCAAGCAGAACAUCUGAAGGGUCCCAAGUUUACUUAGUCCACACCCUGCUAGACUCCCAGCAAAGACAAAGCUGACUUCAGUACCUUGGGGAUUAAGAGGAUUACGGUCCUGAGAAAAUAUCAUGGGUGCACGCCCACAAAAUCCUAUACCCAUCACUCGUUAUUGACUUUCCUCGAGCCCACCCAGACAGCACAGUAUCUAGACCCUGGGGUGGCAUCCUAAUAGAACACCUGGAGGUGUUCUUAGGAGGGGGUUCUAUAAUAAAUCUACCGGCUGCCCUUCCUCCCGGCUCACAGAGAUAAUUCUCACUGGAUUACUAAUUACUUCUGGGUUAUGUCCAUUAUGGACUCAAAAGCCAGUGUUUUUAACAGCUCCACAUGAAGUAUUGUUACUUUAGCUACUCACCAAGUUAUUAUAUUGUGUACUAUUUGCCUUCCUGUGUAUUGACCCAUGUCUUAUCCUGUUUUUGGCUGUUUGGUUUUGUGAUUUUGUACUGUUGCAUCGCUGACUGUCUUUCCAGGAUUUUGGAUUUUUGCUUGUUUUUUCCAGUUGUGCUAUUUUCUUAUUGAUUUGUAUUGUCUGCUCUGAUUCUUUAA